UUUGCUCUCUGUGGCACGCACCUCAGUCUGCUUGCCUUCUGGGGAGCACGAGGGGCCUUCUCUGCCGUUCCCCAGAGACCCCAGAAGGCUGGAGCCUGUGUUGUGCACAAAAGUGACCUGGUCCUGAUGAGAAUCCUCCCAGUCAUUCAACAAACACUUUUGGAGCCCAGAGCUGGGGCUGACAGUCGCCCUCCUGGCCUGGCGCCCUAGGGACCAAGUGGGCACCCAGGAGGCCUGGUGGGUAGUGAGUGACAGGUGUGUCUGGCCCUGGCACCCAGUGGGGGCGUGGGCAUCUUCAGAGCCUCUGGAAUGGCUGGGCAGAGGCCCAGGGCUGGGCUGCGACGGUGUCUUCUGUCCGCAGUCUCUGAUCUCUGUCUGAGCCUGCGGGAGGCCCUGGUUUCCUUCAGUCCACUCAGCAGAGCUUGAGUUACCUUGGUUACCUCCUCCAGGCUGUGCUGCCAGACCCCUUCCCGGGGGCAGACCCAGACUCGAUGAAGGCCGCUGCCCAGGCCCCUCCGCAGCCCUGGGCCCCACCCCCUCCAUGUGUGGCCCCCGACUUUGGGCCGGCUCCUUGGCCUGGCAGUGCUCUACUGAUGGCUCUGGAGUCAGGCAGGGUGUGGUCCGCACUGCUGCCACGUGUUUUCUGUGAGACCUGGGACGGAGCAGCUGGCUGGUGGACCACCCGUCCCUCUAUCCUUCUUGGCCAUGUGGGGUCCAGCCCCACCUCCCAUGCUGUCCCCUCCCUCUGCAGUGUGGUCAGGAGCCAGAGCAGGACAGAGGCAACCACCUGGUCCUCACAUCCAGCCCCGUCUGUGAUCCCGACCUCAGCAGAGGGCAGGUGGGGCGAAGGCGGGAGUGUGACUGGACCCAGGGCUGCCCUGAUGUCCCCACGGGCCAGGCAGCGCGCAGAGGGCUCUGCCCACUGGAAUGGAAGGGCCCCUCCUCAAAGCUGCGGCAGCCUCAGGAGUGUGCAGUUAUCUGAUCGCGCAGGCAUCUGCAGAUUCUGCUGAAACAGGAAGGGGCCCCCUGGCCCUGACACGGGGGGCUGCAUGGUGGGGGCCAGGCCUCCUCGCCAGCCUCGGGGCACACCCCCCACCUGAGGGGGCCGUGGGAGGGUGGGUGGAAACGCACACCUGCACAGGUGGGAGGUGUGGCACCUCCAGGCCCUCCCAGACGGGCGCGGACGGGGUGCAGUGGGUGUGAGGGUCAUCUUGGCUGUCACCUGACUGCUCGGAGAGAGGCUGGGGAGCGGGGGAAGCACAGUGAGGUCAGCGAGCUGAGCGGGCCCCCCUGACUGUGUGGCACUGCCUGUGGGCCGGGACUCCAUGGUGCCGAGCGGCGUCUCGCUGCUGCUGUGGCUGUGGGGCCAGAGCCCGCUGCCCCCGCCUUUGACAGUGGGCUCACACGGGACGCCCAGCCGGCCUGGGACGGACGACAUCCUCUGUCCCUCUGCUCUGAAGCUGCAGGCUCCUGGUUUCCAGACUCCAGCUGGAGGCAGCUGCUGUAACCCUUGUGUCAAUUACGCCCACACCCUAGGGCUCCCUCCCAGACACUGCCCAGUACGGCCGGGGCGGCACCUCUGCAAGCUGGACCAAGGGACAAGUGGCCGCAGUUUGCAGGACUUCAGCCCAAGGGAGGGCAGUCAGGCUUGCUGCCUGGAUGGAACAGAGCUCACCCUGGUCUGGGUGCGACACCCUUGAUUCUGAACAGGCUGAACUUGAGGUGGAUGAGCUGCAGCCCCACACAGUGCUGCCAGAGGUGCACGGCUGGGAGUCACUGUGUCCACAGAGAGGUGAGGGACACCACAGCCAGGCACACAUGCGCGCGCGCACACACACACACACACACACACACACACACGCAUGCACGCACGCGUGCACGUGACUCUUGGUUCCUAAGACCGGACAGUUAUAGAGUUUCACGGUGAGUUACUGCUCCUUGUUUAGUUAUCCCUCUCCUCUCCUUUCCUCUAACCCUUGGCUUCUCUACAGUGUCCUCCGUCACCAGUGCCGUACUGCCUCAGCCGUCCUUGCGCAGUACGCGGCUCUGUCCACAGCAGCCUGUGGACACCUGGCCUCGGCCCAGCGGAGCUCCUUUCCCGCACCACAGCCGCCGCACCUGGCUCUCGUGGAGGGGAUCUUGCUGUCCACCGUCUUCCAUCCUGGCGUGGACUCAAGCCAGCCCCAGCUCUGCCUCGGCUGUUGGCACAGACUGCACCACUGCCAUGCCCUCCUGGCAGGCAGCACAUCUGAGGCCCAGGAGCUGGGCAGAGCGGCUGCCCAGCCCACGGGACCCAGGUGGCUUAUUGCCUGGGCCGCCUGUGCUGCCUGUGCUGCCAAAAGACCACCACAGGAGCAAACAGACGGCCUCCCUGAGUGCACCACUCACACAUUUACAGAUUGGAAAGGAUAUCAGGGGUUGCAGUGAGUUAAAAACCAUAAAAAGAUGCCAGCUUCCUGGUGGUGAGGGACAGCUGCCACCCACAGGGGCCUUCGCAAACUUAGCCCCAGGCUGGUGAUCAAGGUGUGAACUUGGAUGGGCACAGGCCUGGUGUGCAACUGUGGCCAGAACUCUGCUUGCUAAACAUGUGUGGUUUCAGCUGCCCGCUUUGCUUGUGUUUGAAGCCCUCGAUUUAAAUCCAG